GCUCUCUCUGUAGUAACAGAACACCAUUGGCAGGGAUCUCCUCACAGUCUCUCUCUUCCUCUUCCAGGAACUAUUACCCCCUUCCUGAUUUCAUUAGAAAUUAUAGUCUGCCUUUUGUCCUGACUGAGGAGAAGCGAGAAGAGGAAGAAAAAAAUUACCCAGUUUGUUUCCCUUGUUAAAUAAAUAACUGGUAAGGUCUCCAUUGAUCACCUCCUGUGCGUGUGCCUGAGGAGAGAGGAAAGCGAGAGGAUUUCAUGCCUUUCUGGAGAGGGCAGAAAAUUUCUAGGAAAACUUUGUUAAACGUCAGGGAGUGGCAGAGUUAAAUGCAGCCCAAAGCCAACCAGCAAUCUGGAACAGGGUGGCCUGACAGUGACAGCUACUGACCUGACUUGCCUGUGGAGCCAUCUUCCUCCUUCCCUCAGCAGGAACCCCAGCACCAAACAACCAGAACAUCAGCAAGGUUUCUGGUAGAUAGAACAGCCUGGCCAAACUCGAGGGUUUUCCCAGGCUUCUCAGCCCUUUUACUGUAAAGGGCUCAUGAAGAGAAAGCUGGGAUGAAGAAGAAGCUAAUGCUGACCUCUGUUGACAAAUCAAUGGAAGAAAAAUUCAAAGACAACUUCUGGCUCAAUCAGUCCUUAGAUCAGUUCCCACUGAGACUUUCCAUCCUCCUACAUGUUUGUCCUUCCCUAGGUUCACACUUGGCAGGGGCCAACAGCAAUGCCUGGUGUUUCUUCAGCUCACAAGGUGCUCAGCAGUGUUGCCUCCACAGGCACGAGCACAGCUCUCCCCUUGUUGCCCUGGCUCUAUGAUGAAGACAAAUGUUCUGGGGUUCAGUACAGUUCUUUGGGAGCACUUUGAAAUACAGCACAUAGGACCAUAUGUCCCUUCCCAAUGGUGGAAACCAUUUUCUUAUACAAAGAAACUGUUCAGGAAGAUAGACCUGUGAUUUUACAUAGAUGAGAGCAAACUUAAUCUCAGUGCAACCCUGUUUAGGGGAUAAAAGCAGUACUUUGCUUAGUUUGGAUUUCCUAAAUAUAAAUAUUAUUUUUCCUUAAAUAAAUAAAACCAAGGUAUGAGGGAGUAUGUGAAUAGGAUUCAUUUUAGGGGCCCAGCAUGAAUGUGUUUGAAGGUGAAGUAGGUGUUGUCUUUCAAGAAGGCAAUGAUGCGUUUCAGGACCUCGAAGGCUGGUUCGUUGUUAGAGCCAUAAUUAACUGCAGAGAGCUGAAUGCAUUCAUCAGGGUAGAUGACCUCUUUACCAAUGCUUACCAGGAAAUAAUAAGCAAUAGGGCGUAGGUCCUAAAUGAAACAGAAGCUCCCAGGAUUGAAAUUCCUCUAUGGAAUGAGAGCUCCAGCUUCAAAGCAGGACUUCAUUCUGCAGUGCCUCUUUCCUAAAAAAAGAACAUUGCAAAUUACAGACCAACCCACCUGGUCCAGACUUGCACUGCAUUUUUUUUAAGCUAAGAAAAGCAUCUGACAAGACUGGGAAGUCUUCUGUAAAAUCAUCUGGUCACAUAACAAGACAAGAUCUUUAAGGCUAACAGUUUAAACCAUGAGAGUUAAUGUGCUUUG